UACAGAGGGUGCGAGCGUUAAUCGGAAUUACUGGGCGUAAAGCGCACGUAGUCGGCUUUGCAAGUCGGUUGUGAAAUCCCCCGGGCUCAACCUGGGAACUGCAUCCGAGACUGCAUUGCUAGAGUAUGGGAGAGGAAAGCGGAAUUUCUGGUGUAGCAGUGAAAUGCGUAGAUAUCAGAAGGAACAUCAGUGGCGAAGGCGGCUUUCUGGACCAAUACUGACGAUCAGGUGCGAAAGCGUGGGGAGCAAACAGG
rnacentral:rRNA from 1 species